rnacentral:rRNA from 1 species
UGAGGAAUAUUGGUCAAUGGGGGCAACCCUGAACCAGCGACGCCGCGUGAAGGAUGACAGGGCUUUGCCCCGUAAACUUCUGUCGGGAGGGAAAAAAGGACUGUUUGGCGGUCUGGGAUUGUACCUCUAAAGGAAGCACCGGCUAACUACGUGCCAGCAGCCGCGGUAAUACGUAGGGUGCAAACGUUGUCCGGAAUUACUGGGUGUAAAGGGUGCACAGGCGGUUUUGUGCGUCAGAGGUAAAAUCCCACAGCUCAACUGUGGACCUGCCUUUGAUACGGCGAGACUUGAGUACAAGAGAGGAUGAUAGAAUUCCUGGUGUAGCGGUGAAAUGCGUAGAUAUCAGGAGGAAUACCAGUGGCGAAGGCGGUCAUCUGGCUUGUAACUGACGCUUAAGCACGAAAGCAUGGGUAGCGAACA